rnacentral:rRNA from 1 species
UAAGUGAAGAGUUUGAUCCUGGCUCAGAGUGAACGCUGGCGGCAGGCCUAACACAUGCAAGUCGAACGGCAGCACAGUAAGAGCUUGCUCUUAUGGGUGGCGAGUGGCGGACGGGUGAGGAAUACAUCGGAAUCUACUCUUUCGUGGGGGAU